UACGAAGGGGGCGAGCGUUGCUCGGAAUUACUGGGCGUAAAGGGCGCGCAGGCGGCGAGUUUUGUCAGACGUGAAAGCCCCGGGCUCAACCUGGGAACUGCGCUUGAAACGGGCUUGCUGGAGACCGGGAGAGGAGAGUGGAAUUCCCAGUGUAGAGGUGAAAUUCGUAGAUAUUGGGAAGAACACCGGUGGCGAAGGCGGCUCUCUGGACCGGAUCUGACGCUGAGGCGCGAAAGCGUGGGGAGCAAACAGG
rnacentral:rRNA from 1 species